rnacentral:ribozyme from 1 species
GUCUUGAGCUUAUAGGCUAAGAUUUCUGUAAUGUGACCUAUGGGAGUUGUAAGUCUCCAUGAAAAACACAGAACACAGA